UACGUAGGGUGCGAGCGUUAAUCGGAAUUACUGGGCGUAAAGCGUGCGCAGGCGGUUCGUUAAGUUCGUUGUGAAAGCCCCGGGCUCAACCUGGGAACUGCAAUGGAAACUGGCGGGCUUGAGUGUUGCAGAGGGGGGUGGAAUUCCGCGUGUAGCAGUGAAAUGCGUAGAGAUGCGGAGGAACACCGAUGGCGAAGGCAGCCCCCUGGGCCACCACUGACGCUCAGGCACGAAAGCGUGGGGAGCAAACAGG
rnacentral:rRNA from 1 species